UGGAACUGAGCGUUUCAAGCUGGGCCCCAUUCAUAUCCAGGUUGGACACCCCUGCACUAGUGUGUCCAUGGUGAGGAUAUUUAUGUGGUAUUUAACUGGGGCAAAAUUGAGCACCUAUAGGUGUAACAUUCAAAAUAAGACCUUAUAUUAAAGGCCCGUCCAAGGCAGGUGUUAUAUACAGGGCUUUCUGACACCCAUAGAGCUUUAUGCGCAAAGGCAACCAGGAAAUUGUCAUGGGGGCUUGUAUAGAUCAUCAUCAUUUAUUUAUAUAGCACCAACAAGAUACGCAGUACUUAGAUGAGUGCAAAUAGUUGGUGUGUAGUUUUGUUGUCCUUUGUGUGGCAAGUGCUCUCUCUGUAUUCAUAAAUUCUCUGGUUACAAGUUUACUGAGGGCUGGAAUAAUUUCGCUAUAAAAUGCAGAGCGAGAAAUUCCAGGGAGAUAAGAUGGAAUUUCACUGGUCAGACCAUGAAAGCGAGCUUGCCCCUAUGGAAAGGGUUAAUGUGAGGCACUGCAGAGGAAUUCUUCAGCUCUGGCCAGAUCCUUCUUCCCGAGGCGGGAUUUAUAUGGGAUGUUAUUUCAUCCUGAGUCUGUAAUCUGCAUUUUUAUGGGGCUCUGCAGAACAUGUACACUGGUCUUUUCUUGGGGCGGACAGGAGGGGGGGAGCUUUGAGGAGAAGCAGGGAAAAAAUGGGGGAUGGAGGCAAAGCUGUUACUCUGGUAUGCUGAAUAAUUUACACCCUGUCUCCCCGGGCCAGGCCUGGCCAGUAACUCAUCUUUAUGGCUGCAGGAGAGAAAGGAACACACAGGAGACGCAAGUCAAAUUAACCCAUUGCCUGCUUCUACCACGGCCUCUUUGGAGGACUGCUGAUUGAGUGCACUGGAACCUCCGCCUGACUGUGAUGAAGACUGGCGAUCCAGAAGAUGGCGCCCACAAGGUCCGCUGCUCCCCGCGGAUGGAAAAAGUCUGAUUUCGAAAAUCCGCCAGAACUGCCAAGGUUGCAUUGGGAGAAGUCCUGCAAUAAUCCAAAGAUUUUGUGGUUUUCGGGCAAAAAAUCCAAAAAAGACUUCUUGCGGAAAAUCCCAAAAAUUCGUACAAUCCGAAUUUUUCACAAAUUUGUCCGGUUUUUUUCCAGCACAGGAAAUUUUCAGGGAAAAUGUAUUGAUAAAUAAGAGGAAAAAACCCGUGCAAAUUUGGUCAGAGUACUUUUCAGAGAAUAAUGAGAUAAAUUUGGACUUUGAUAAAUGGGCCUCCCCAUGUGGUGUAAAUUUGUCUGAACGCAAAAUUGUCAGUGUGCACCACUAUAUGUUGUAUGUACUUGUGUUAAAUCCUGUGUUUAGCCUGGAGUGAGCAUUGUCAGAACUGAAGCUUCCACCAUGUGAAUAGGACUUUCUUUUCUGAAUAGCCUAAGCCAGUGAUCCCCAACCAGUGGCUCUCAAGCAACGUUACUCAAAAUUUCUCCACAAGGAACACUCUCUUAAUCUCUUCAAGAAAAAACUCAGAUUCUUCCUUUUGGAGAACUAGAACAUUAGUCUAGUCGGCCACUUAAGGGACAAUGCCUUUACUCUGUGCACUUUUCCCCUC